CAUAACCAAAGAUCACCCUGGGGUCAAUGGUGGGAUUGGUAAUCACCCGCACAUCGCCGCCCCCCGGUGCCCAGGUGUCGUACACCCCGCCCAGGAACAUGGCCUUCACCACCAGCAGGAGGGCACCCAACCCCAACAGGACUAGGUGAAUCCCCAGAAUCGUGGUCAUUUUAUUUUUGUCCCGCCA
rnacentral:antisense_RNA from 1 species